UACGGAGGGGGCUAGCGUUGUUCGGAAUUACUGGGCGUAAAGCGCACGUAGGCGGGUUUGUAAGUCGGGGGUGAAAGCCCAGAGCUCAACUCUGGAAUUGCCUUCGAUACUGCAGAUCUUGAGAGUGAGAGAGGUGAGUGGAAUUCCUAGUGUAGAGGUGAAAUUCGUAGAUAUUAGGAAGAACACCAGUGGCGAAGGCGGCUCACUGGCUCAUUUCUGACGCUGAGGUGCGAAAGCGUGGGGAGCAAACAGG
rnacentral:rRNA from 1 species